AUGAAGUUUAUUUUGGGGUAAGUUGAUCAAUUGACUAAUAGAAUACUGACACGCAGGCGAGGUUGUAUGCGUAUCAGUAUUUUAUUGAUCAAUUAACUAAUUUAUCAAAAAAAUAACUUCAU
rnacentral:pre_miRNA from 1 species